GACUUUGACUCCUACGGGAGGCAGCAGUGGGGAAUCUUGGACAAUGGGCGCAAGCCUGAUCCAGCCAUGCCGCGUGAGUGAUGAAGGCCCUAGGGUCGUAAAGCUCUUUCGCCAGGGAUGAUAAUGACAGUACCUGGUAAAGAAACCCCGGCUAACUCCGUGCCAGCAGCCGCGGUAAUACGGAGGGGGUUAGCGUUGUUCGGAAUUACUGGGCGUAAAGCGCGCGUAGGCGGACUGGAAAGUUGGGGGUGAAAUCCCGGGGCUCAACCCCGGAACUGCCUCCAAAACUCCCAGUCUUGAGUUCGAGAGAGGUGAGUGGAAUUCCGAGUGUAGAGGUGAAAUUCGUAGAUAUUCGGAGGAACACCAGUGGCGAAGGCGGCUCACUGGCUCGAUACUGACGCUGAGGUGCGAAAGUGUGGGGAGCAAACAGGAUUAGAUACCCUGGUAG
rnacentral:rRNA from 1 species